rnacentral:lncRNA from 1 species
UUGUGGAAAACUGCUUUAAAUGUCAUAGAGCACUCAGAAGGAAUUCAUAAAUGACCUCAUAAAGAAGUCCACUGUGGUUUCCCUGCAGAGGUGGGAAUAGAAUCAGAGUGCUAAGGAUUGAGGGAUUAAGAGGAGGUGAUUGUAUUAUUCCUCUUUUCAGAUAAUGGAGAGAGAGAAGAGAACAGCAGUAGCCGUUGCCAGAAAUAUUGAUCAUGUGGUGUUAGCACGGAGAUGAGAAAGAGAGAAAGACAACAUCAUGCUUUGCUGUCUGUGUGUGAACUGAGUAACAGCUGUGAAGGAUCAGUCACCAAAAGACUUUGAAAGAAGAGGCUUGAUUGGUCACGGUAAUGAUGCUCCCCUGGCCAUGGAAGUUUAAUUGGGAGAAAAGAACAUCUGCUUAUACGAAAACAUAUUAUAUUCAGCCAUCCCUGCCCUGACUUUGGCCUUUAAAAACAGUGGCAUUAAUUAUCUCAACAAAUGAAUCUUCGGGAUAAAAAUAAUCUAAAUAUUAUUUUACGCUUACUACAUAUUUGCAACGUGCUAAGCUCUUUAUGGUUGCUACCACAAAAAACAUUUAUAAUAUGAGACUUCACAAGGUUAGGAACAGGCUUCACUUCAUUGUGAUGUGUGUAAGGUGACAGAGGACAUAUAACGAAUACGUGGAAGAACUAGGAAUUUGACCUUAGCUUCCAGACAUUUUGAGGAGGAUACACUAUGUCCAUCUUGCUUUCCUAUCAAGAAAAGUAUACCCAGUUUGUGCAGUAGCCCUGUACCAACAGAUACAUUACAGCAGGUUGUUUCCGUAUUUUGGCUAUUGUGAAUAGUGCUGCAAUAAACAUGGAAGUGCUGAUAUAUCUUUGAGAUCUUGACUUCAAACAAAAGAAGAAAAUCUUGCAAUAUAUGACAACACGGAUUAACCUGGAGGACAUUGUGCUUAGUGAAGUUAGCCAGUCACAGACUGACAAGUACUGCACGAUUCCACUUAUGAAGACUACAGUUCCUAUCUUCACAGGUGGCUGUUAGCUCUAAAUGAACUCAUUUAUUUUGAAAGCAUGAUUUAAAGUAUAGUUUUAAACUAUAAGCAUUUCAGAAGUGAUGACCCAUGACUCAAAUCUCAAAAAUAAAUGCUACAGUUCACAGUUGGAAUAUGGACACAAGAAAAAUAAUAGAUGAUGCCACUGAAAGGUAAACAUACCAUUCUGACAUGCAUGAAAAUGAAACGACAAAUUGAUACACGCAGUGCUUGGAAUGGAUGGAGUCCUUCUAAUGAGUGAUUACCUGUGGUAUAACUAUAUUGAUUGUGUUUGUACAUGUCAAAUGGGGCUGGCGAGGAUGAACUUGAAGAAAUCAAUCUUGGAACCUGCUAGGACAGCAGCCUCCUGGUUUCACAGUACUAAAUCAUGACUUCAAAAUUUUGAAGUAAAAGAAAACUGCAAAACUUUGUAAAGGUACCAGUCUCUUCCUGACACUAUUUGCCUUGGCAAAAGAUUCACUGUCAACUUAAAAGACUAACAUGUGCUCAGAUGAUGAUUUGUGGAGGACAGAUAAUUAUGAGUACAUUUAGAAAUACACACUCUUCCAAACCCUGCUCUUUCCAUAUAAUGAAGUUAUUUAUUUCUAUUUUUUAUUUAUUUUUCUAAUAAUUACAAACAUACUUUGGAGACCCACAUUCCUGUAUUAUUCUUUCAACAUACUGAAGAAGAGUUAUUUCUAUGCUUCUUUCUAUGUGUUGGGCUUAAGAUUUAUUAGAAGGAAUGUGUAAAAACAAAGGCAGCAAAGUUUCUAUUUUUAUUGGGAGUCACUCCCGGAGUAAGUGGGGAUAGUUGUGCACACACACACACACACAUUCAUGCACAAAGAAAGAGUGAUCAAGUGUAUAACACACUUUUAGCAGUGUUUUGCUGGAAGAAUAAAGUAUAACUCCUUGUCCGCCCUUUUAUUAUACUGGGGUUCACACUAAGAGAGUCUGAGGACCUGUGGAACUCCCAUUUGCAUGAAAUAACUUUUGCAUCUAUUCUGGAGGAAAACUUCCUAAGGCAGAUUUGGACAGAAAAUUGCUAUCAGCGCAAAUAAAACAAUGCAAAGCCUACUCCGGGGAACGUUGCUCUGCCACCACUACUGAAAUGGGUCAUCCCCUUGGUUUCUGAAUAAAGAAUUAUGAAACCUGGGGCUAGAAUGCUCAGGGAGGAAUUUACCAAUCCAAAUCUUCCCCUUAUGGUAGAGAACAAACUUUCAAGGUUUGUUCUCCACUGUAAGUGUGCGAGGGCUGUUAGGGACCGUAAUAUGGCUGCCGGAGACUGGUGUGUGUACCUCCUUGACUGUACGUCUCAUUUCCAGUUAUGAUUUUACAAUCAUCUCUUUCUCAACCUUUGCUUUUAAAUAUAGGAAGGUACGGCUCACCAUGGAGCGGACAUUUUCUUCAGGAGCGGUACGGUGUCUAAGAUAUGCAGAGGUUGUAUUCUAGUCCUAUAACUCAAUUCUCAAACACAUGGCUUUUAGCCAGGGAUAUCCUAAAGGAAAAUUACACUAUAUGCAACCCCUCCUUACUCCUCAAAUAUUAUCUAUAUUAAACACAGCUGAAAUUUGAGAGUGUCCUUACAGGUGAAAAUUUAACAAUUUAACAAAAGGACACUGCUGAAUGUGUGGGGACAAAGGAAGGAUGAAUCUUUCAUCAUGACAAAAGACUACUUGCCACAUUCUCCCUUAACUUAGAAAAACA